AUUUUUGAGAGUUUGAUCCUGGCUCAGGAUGAACGCUGGCGGCGUGCUUUAAAUAUGCAAGUCAAAGGGAUCGCAAGAUAACUGGCGGACGGGUGAGUAAUGUAUAGGAAUCUACCUUGAAGUGGGACAUAGCUUCUCGAAAGAGGAGGUAAUUUCCCAUGUGAACGCAAGUUCAAAGUCGUAAGACGCUUUAAGAUGAGCCUAUAUUCUAUCAGCUUGUUGGUGGGGUAAUGGCCUACCAAGGCGACGACGGAUAGCUGGUCUGAGAGGAUGGUCAGCCACAAUGGCACUGAGAUACGGGCCAUACACCUACGGGUGGCGCAGUUGGGAAUUGUUGACAAUGGGCGAAAGCCUGAUCACGCGACGCCGCGUGGAGGAUUGAAGGCCUUCGGGUUGUAAACUCCUUUUAUGUGGGAAGAUUAUGACGGUACCACACGAAUAAGCACCUGCUAACUACGUGCCAGAAGCCUCGGUAAUACGUAGGGUGCAAGCGUUAUCCGGAUUCAUUGGGCGUAAAGAGUUGCGUAGGCGGCUCGGCGCAUUCUGCUUGAAAGCCUCUGGCUCAACCAGAGAUUUGGGCAGAAGAUGGCCGAACUAGAUGGUUUGGGAGGGUGCUGGAACCUGUAGUGUAGCAGUGAAAUGCGUUGAUAUUACAGGGAACACCAAAGGCGUAGGCAGGCACCUAACAAACCCAUGACGCUGAGGCACGACAGCUAGGGGAGCGAAGCAGAUUAGAGACCUGCGUAGUCCUAGCCGUAAACGAUGUCCGCUAGUUACCCCGCCUUUGGCGGGGCGACGACGCUAACGGAAAAACCUCACCAGGGUUUGACAUGCAGAUGCUAAGCCUAUGAAAGUAGGCCUCCUUCGAGGGUUCUGCACAGAUGCUGCAUGGCUAAUCCCGAUUGAAUCGGGAUGAUGGCCGCUCCUUAAGUAAUUAAGGAGAAAAAUAACCAACCCAAAACGGUGAAGCCCUACUUUUGGCGUAAGCCAACAAGCAAGAUUUCUUACUUGAUUUUCGUAUUACUUUCGGGUAAUGUGAAAUUAAGGGGUAAUACCGUGGGAAGCUGGUUAGUGUGAGGUUAGAUGUUUGAGGUCGGAAGAUGGAUAAAGAGAUUGGAAGUUUGAAAUUGGUAGGAUACAAUCAAAGUAAUGUGAUCCAAAGUUUUAAAGAUCUAAAAGUAUAUCAGGAAUCUUAUGAAUUGGCUUUAAUAAUUAACAGAGCAAUUUUGAGAUUGCCUAAUAGCGAGAGAUUUGAUUUGGUAGAUCAGAUGCGAAGAGCGUCAAAAUCUAUUCCAGCAAAUAUUGCUGAAGGAUAUGCUAAAAGAUUGUCUGAGAAAGAAUUUAAAAGAUAUCUUUUAUCAGCAAUUGGAUCGUGUAAUGAAAUGGUUGUACAUAUCAGUUUUGCAAAAGAUUUAGGUUUUUGGAAAUCUGAAUUUUGUGAGGAUUUACUUAAACGAUAUGAUAUCGUAGGUAAACAACUUACAAGAUUGUUGCAAAAUUGGAAAGCCUAUCCAACUUCUAAAGUCUAAUUUCACAAUCUACCUUCUAAUUUCUAACAUCUAACUUCUAUCUAACAUAGCCCCGUAGAGACUGAUUCCGCCAGCUGGCGGAUGAGAAUAGCCAAAUGAGGUUAUUCAGACGGUUGGCUCCCUACCUUAAAUAAAGGGGGAGAAGGUAUAGUCCAUGCUCCUAGUAAUAGGCAGAUUUACAUGGUCGUCAGCUCGAGGCGUGAGCUGUACCCUUAAGUGGGACAUCGAGCGCAACCCGCACCGUAUGUUAAAUAAUCCAUACGGAACAGCCCCAGUUUUUACUGGGAAGGAAGGUGCGGAUGACGUCAAGUCAGCACGGUUCUUACACCCUGGGCUACACACACCCUACAAUGGCGAAGAACAACGAGUUGCAAGCUGGUAACAGCAAGCUAAUCUCUGAAAUUUCGCCUCAGUUCAGAUCGAGGGCUGCAAUCCGCCCUCGUGAAGUCGGAAUUGCUAGUAAUCGCGGAUCAGCAGGCCGCGGUGAAUACGUUCUCGGGUCUUGUACACACCGCCCGUCAAGCGAGCAAAGUUGGGGGCGCCCGAAUGCCUAUGUAUGUAGGCAGAAGGUGAAACCAGCGAUGAGCGCUAAGUCGUAACAAGGUAUCCCUAGCCGAAGCUGGGGAUGGAUCACCUCCUUU
rnacentral:rRNA from 1 species